rnacentral:tRNA from 4 species
GCCCCUGUAGCUCAACGGACAGAGCAGACCCGUCCUAAGGGUAAAAUGAGGGUUCAAUUCCCCCCAGGGGCA